AGUGAACGCUGGCGGUAGGCCUAACACAUGCAAGUCGAACGGCAGCACGCUAAGAGCUUGCUCUUACGGGUGGCGAGUGGCGGACGGGUGAGGAAUACAUCGGAAUCUACUUUUUCGUGGGGGAUAACGUAGGGAAACUUACGCUAAUACCGCAUACGACCUACGGGUGAAAGCAGGGGAUCUUCGGACCUUGCGCGAUUGAAUGAGCCGAUGUCGGAUUAGCUAGUUGGCGGGGUAAAGGCCCACCAAGGCGACGAUCCGUAGCUGGUCUGAGAGGAUGAUCAGCCACACUGGAACUGAGACACGGUCCAGACUCCUACGGGAGGCAGCAGUGGGGAAUAUUGGACAAUGGGCGCAAGCCUGAUCCAGCCAUACUGCGUGGGUGAAGAAGGCCUUCGGGUUGUAAAGCCCUUUUGUUGGGAAAGAAAAGCAGCAGGUUAAUACCCCGCUGUUCUGACGGUACCCAAAGAAUAAGCACCGGCUAACUUCGUG
rnacentral:rRNA from 1 species